ensembl:misc_RNA 7SK 7SK RNA
GGAUGUGAGGAUGAUUUGGCCACAAAACCUGUCACCCCAUUGAUUGCCAGGGUUGAUUCUGCUGACGGUUUGGCUGGAAAGGUGCACUUUUCCUCUCUCACUGAUCCGUGUGUUUUCCCCUAAAGUCCUAUGCUAGAGGAAAGGUGAAGACAAGGAGCGUAAUUUCCCAAGUCUAGGGAGAGUAUAGGAUUUACGGUGCUUCCCUGCUAGAACCUCAAAACAAACAAGUCUAAUUUUAUUUUUGAAGGAUCUCAGCAUUAUUUUCUGCAGUGCUUUUAGCACUGACAUAUUCAA